UUUGCUCACCUAACAACAGCCUAAUUUAAGAUAUAGCAUUGGUAGUGAUUUUUCUAAGUUCAGUUUUCUCACGUGAGGAAGAGGUGAGCAAGAGGUGAGGAAAUUGGACAUAGUCAAAAUUCAGUAUUACAAGUAGAAUCAAAACCAAAGAUUUACAAGUCUCAAUUCCUCACGUGAGGCUCACGUGAGGAAAUACAAUACUUUGACACUCUAUGUGGUCCAAGCUUUCCCAAGCCUUUAUUACAAAUUGACCAUGUGUUAAGUGUUAACACUUCCUGAUGAUAGCAUCACAAAUGAUCGGGGACCAGGCAGGAAUAUCUUAAUUUCUUGAGCUUCUAAUCUUUAUCUCCCAUCGAUUUGGAAAUGCUUUCCUCUUCUUAAACAACCUGUUGUGUCCCCCACUGUUACUUAAGGUGGGGCAGUAUCCAAUGAGGAGAGCCAGUUAGGAUUUGUGCGCCUUUUAAGACCAGUUCAAAAUUUCAAUACAAAAUGUUUGUGAGGGACAUUGAAAGUAUAUGGAUUAAUACAGUGAAGAACUGAAAUAUGCUUUUGGAAAUACAUGUCAUCACCAUACUGAACUAGAUGCCAACCUUUAAAAGUUGCAAAUGUAUCCAGUAUGUCCAUGGGAUGAGGGAAUGAUUAAAGAUCAAUUUGAUAUUACCAUGGUGCAGCCACAAUGAAGGAAAAUUUCCAAAAUAUGCUGAUCUGAGAAUAGGAUAAAAGUUGGAAUCAAAGGAUCUGCAGAUUAAUCACGGACCCUAGCUGAGCUUGCUUACAUGACGGAGUGCUGAUGUUGACACUCAUUUAAAGGAAA